UACAGAGGGCGCAAGCGUUGUUCGGAAUUACUGGGCGUAAAGCGCACGUAGGCGGCUUUGUAAGUUAGAGGUGAAAGCCCGGGGCUCAACUCCGGAAUUGCCUUUAAGACUGCAUCGCUAGAAUUGUGGAGAGGUAAGUGGAAUUCCGAGUGUAGAGGUGAAAUUCGUAGAUAUUCGGAAGAACACCAGUGGCGAAGGCGACUUACUGGACACAUAUUGACGCUGAGGUGCGAAAGCGUGGGGAGCAAACAGG
rnacentral:rRNA from 1 species